CCCCGUAGCAACAUCGCCUAAAGGAUAGUUUCUCUGAAUGUGGCCAGGCUGACCAUAUUUAAAACACUUAUUCCUCCCCUCAUCACAAAAUCCAUGAUGCACCUGACCACUAAAAUGACAAGAGGGAUAAAAUAAAGCUAAUUGCGCCCUACUGACCUAAGAUUGGGCACCAUAUGACUUAAAUCCACUAUUUCUUUAAAAACGAUGAUCACUAGACAACUUGGGAUAUGGAGCACUAGUCAUAGAAUAUGAACUAUAAGUCCCCGAAUAUUGUCCUUGCCACUAUUCUGUUGGCCACCACCCUACUCAGAAAAUUAGGAUCCCUUACU
rnacentral:lncRNA from 1 species